rnacentral:tRNA from 1 species
CCUCUCGUGGCGCAGCGUUAACGCGCCCUAUCUGGGAAAUUGGGAGUCGUGAGCUCGAUUCUCACCGAGAAGA